UACAGAGGUCUCAAGCGUUGUUCGGAUUCAUUGGGCGUAAAGGGUGCGUAGGCGGCGCGGUAAGUCGGGUGUGAAAUUUCGAGGCUUAACUUCGAAACCGCAUUCGAUACUGCCGUGCUAGAGGACUGGAGAGGAGACUGGAAUUUACGGUGUAGCGGUGAAAUGCGUAGAUAUCGUAAGGAAGACCAGUGGCGAAGGCGGGUCUCUGGACAGUUCCUGACGCUGAGGCACGAAGGCCAGGGGAGCAAACGGG
rnacentral:rRNA from 1 species